CUUCCCAACACCGUUGGAUGCAGCGC
rnacentral:sRNA from 1 species